rnacentral:rRNA from 1 species
CAGUCGCCGCGGUAAUACGAAGGGUGCAAGCGUUACUCGGAAUUACUGGGCGUAAAGCGUGCGUAGGUGGUGGUUUAAGUCCGUUGUGAAAGCCCUGGGCUCAACCUGGGAAUUGCAGUGGAUACUGGGUCACUAGAGUGUGGUAGAGGAUAGUGGAAUUUCCGGUGUAGCGGUGAAAUGCGUAGAGAUCUGGAGGAAUACCGGUGGCGAAGGCGGCCCCCUGGACAAAGACUGACGCUCAGGUGCGAAAGCGUGGGGAGCAAACAGGAUUAGAUACCCCAGUAGUCCCUGUCUCUUAUAA